rnacentral:sRNA from 1 species
CAAGGUUCGAUUCGAGCGUAGCGAGAAAGCGUUGCCGCAGGCAACGACCCGAAGGGCGAAGCGCGAAGCGCUGAGUAAUCCUUCCCCCACCACCA